GCAAGGAGGACCGUUCGAUGAUUUUUCGUUUAGGAUGAUCGCGUGGACGAAUCCAAACCGUCCAUUGCGAUCCAUUUUGUUUGUCUGAUCACAUCUGAAGAGAAAAUGCAUCUAAAUUGUUUACGCGUGCGGGAUGAGGUCUGGACCGUCGGAUUACCAAGCACAUGGAUCGCUCGCGUGGCUUCCCAAAUGGUACCGAUGUUAGCAUGUCUGCCACGCGACGU
rnacentral:lncRNA from 1 species